ACAUAAUUUAAUUACACUAAUUGUUUUAUUUUUUAUUUUUUUAAUUUUACUUGUUAACGAAAUAACACUAUUUUUUUAGAGCACAUUGACACCGAAGACUAAGCCACAUACACACAAACCCGACGAAAUUCAGGUACAGGUACAGGAAAUACAUACACGUUACUCUCAAUUAUUUAUUAUUUAUUUUUACAAUACACACAUUACACUGUAUAAUUUUAGGAUGUUUCGCCCAAAUCGACACAACGCGAUAGUAAACCGCAAAAAACUUACGAGGUAUGUGACGCAUUUCUUGUUGCGCGAAUUUUUAAAAUGUGUAAUGUACUUAGUAAAGUGUCAUUGUAGGAGACCACCAAGACCACUUCUCACGUGCGCAAAACUGAUCAUAAACCGAAGGAUGUUCCUACUGCGAUUAAACCACGCGCUCGUGAUUCAGAUGACGAACUUGAGGACGCUUGGAGCAUCCACAAUCCGGGAGAACGCGACAACGAAGCCGCGCCGUAUUACAAAGACACAGAUGAGACACACACAUCUCCAACACCCGCGGAUGCGACACGUCAGAAAUCCGACAAAGUCAAAUCGAAAGACGAUACUCCUUCACGUGACGUGCACAAAAUACAUCCACAAAAAUCCGACGAGGAUAUCGAGGUACAUAACAUCAUAUUGCCGUGUCAUUCACGAGGUGUAUGCUGCAUAUUUUCAAAACGUUGAUAAUUUUAGGAUAUUUGGUCGAAUAAGCCGGAAGAGCGCGGUACCGAUAUCAGGAAACGGGACAAAGAUGUACCAAAAGAUAAGACACCUCUGCACGACACACCCACAAUUAAAUCACAGCUACAUAAAUCUGACGACGCGCCGAAAGGCAACACGCAUCCACACGAUACAUCCACGUACACAACACAUCCACGUAAACCUGAGGAAGAGAUCGAGGAUAUUUGGUCGAAGCCGAAAGAACGCGUCGUCGAAUCCAAGAAACAUGACAGAGACUCGCCGAAAGCUAAAGAUAAACCGACCCGUCGUCAGUCUGACGAAGAAAUCGAGGAUAUUUGGUCCAAACGGCGGGAAGAUAAGUCACGGAAGGAUGUCGAGGAUACACCGAUAUCUAAGAUUAGGCGACGUGUGUCGAAACCUGACGAAAUCGAGAUAGAUAACACACUUUUGGAUAAGCCAAAAGCGCGUGAAAGCACAUCCGCGCGAAACAACGAGGACGCCACGAACUCCACACACACACCAUACAAACAGCCACUCAAUCAAGACGUCAAAACUUACUACACACACUACAAUU